GCCAACGGCAUAGCUGGGUAGCUAUGUAUGGACGGGAUAAGUGCUGAAAGCAUCUAAGCAUGAAGCCCCCCUCAAGAUGAGAUUUCCCAACUUCGGUUAUAAGAUCCCUCAAAGAUGAUGAGGUUAAUAGGUUCGGGGUGGAAGCAUAGCGAUAUGUGGAGCUGACGAAUACUAAUCGAUCGAAGACUUAAUCAAAUUUC
rnacentral:rRNA from 1 species